GGGCCUUUAGCUCAGUUGGUAGAGCACUUGGUUUACACCCAAGAUGUCGUCGGUUCGAGCCCGGCAGGGCCCACCC
rnacentral:tRNA from 1 species